GCGUAUUCAGUUGCACUGGACCUAUAUGUUGCUCUGCAGCAGAGUUCAAGGAUCAGGUGUGUGACUGCAAGGAAGAGUCAUCAGUCAGUCAUCACUGUCCCAGUGACAGUCCCACCUUUAUGCAGCUUCAAGCUCCUCCCUAAACCAGCUGUAAAGCUUCUCACCCUCAGGGAGGAAUCACCUAUACUAUAUGGCCUUCUGUCCGUCCAUCAGAGUCCAGAUCACGCGUCCAUCCCAUCCUCGUCGCCAAGUUUGUGGUGGAAAUUUGUGGAUUUAGCCCAUGUGAGAAAUCAAAAGUAUCUUGAGCUUGCUUUGUGAUUAAGUAUUUAUUACUAACUAGAGUAAAGGAAAAAGAUAAAGAAUAUAGAAAUCAUCAGCACAAGUAGUAAGCACAGACAGAAGUCAAAUGACUACAAUUCAGCUGAAAAGGGACAGAGGUUCCUUCCCCCAAAAGGAGCAGGAAGAUCUGACAAAGUCAAAGAGGAGAACAG
ensembl:lncRNA